AGCAGCCGCGGUAAUUCCAGCUCCAAUAGCGUAUAUUAAAGUUGCUGCAGUUAAAAAGCUCGUAGUUGAAUUUCGGGACCAUCAUGUCGGUCGUGCCUCGGUACGUACUGGCAUUGUUGGUUUCUACCUUCUGACGAACCAUGAUGUCAUUUAUUUGGUGUCGUGGGGAAUCAGGACUGUUACUUUGAAAAAUUAGAGUGUUUAAAGCAGGCUCACGCUUGAAUACAUUAGCAUGGAAUAAUGAAAUAGGACGUUUGAUUCUAUUUUGUUGGUUUCUAGGAUCGACGUAAUGAUUAAUAGGGAUAGUUGGGGGCAUUAGUAUUCAAUUGUCAGAGGUGAAAUUCUUGGAUUUAUUGAAGACUAACUACUGCGAAAGCAUUUGCCAAGGAUGUUUUCAUUAAUCAAGAACGAAAGUUAGGGGAUCGAAGACGAUCAGAUACCGUCGUAGUCUUAACCAUAAACUAUGCCGACUAGGGAUCGGAUGAUGUUAAUUUUUUAAUGACUCAUUCGGUACG
rnacentral:misc_RNA from 1 species